rnacentral:rRNA from 1 species
GAUGAACGCUGGCGGCGUGCCUAAUACAUGCAAGUCGAGCGAACAGACGAGGAGCUUGCUCCUCUGACGUUAGCGGCGGACGGGUGAGUAACACGUGGAUAACCUACCUAUAAGACUGGGAUAACUUCGGGAAACCGGAGCUAAUACCGGAUAAUAUUUUGAACCGCAUGGUUCAAUAGUGAAAGACGGUUUUGCUGUCACUUAUAGAUGGAUCCGCGCCGCAUUAGCUAGUUGGUAAGGUAACGGCUUACCAAGGCGACGAUGCGUAGCCGACCUGAGAGGGUGAUCGGCCACACUGGAACUGAGACACGGUCCAGACUCCUACGGGAGGCAGCAGUAGGGAAUCUUCCGCAAUGGGCGAAAGCCUGACGGAGCAACGCCGCGUGAGUGAUGAAGGUCUUCGGAUCGUAAAACUCUGUUAUUAGGGAAGAACAAAUGUGUAAGUAACUAUGCACAUCUUGACGGUACCUAAUCAGAAAGCCACGGCUAACUACGUG